CAGGAAGACAAGAAAAAGAAGGAAGGUGCUCAGAAAAAGGCUGCUGAUCAAAAAACCAAAGGUAAGUUUAUUUUAUUUGGGGGCACAUUUUAUGGCAGCACUAAACUUUUUAUGAAGAUGACUUUUUCCCUAAUUGAUGGUUGGAGACAAAGACUAGCCCUGCCUUUGAGUCUGCCUUUUGUCGUUCUCUGUGAAGUGCUUCCUGUCGCUGGUUUUGCAUCUGCAUCUCAUUGGCAUUUGUGUAACCUGAACGCCUGAAGAAUGUCACAGUAGCUUUCUAAACAAUGCUUUAUAAUUUUCCUUUGGUUUAAUUUCCACCACAUCAGGAUUAAACUGAUAAACUGCUUCAGUUCGAUUAAUAACAACCAAAGGAUAUGGAAUUCUUUUAAAGCUUCCAGUUUCUCUUUGCCAACUAUUUAUGACAAAAAAAAUACAUUCUUUAUUCCCUCUUUGCUUACUGAUAUGUAAGAUUUCUCUUUACCCUCCAAGUCCAGCAUUUGCUCACCACUGUCUUCGUGGGUGUUGGUGGAAACACGCGUGAUGCUCACGGUGGCUCAGGCACCCCUAUGAUUUGCUGAGCGAAACGGAAGCGCCCUCCAAGCCUCUUCAUUUUGUACUUGACCUGGGUAGGGACUGUCCAGUGGGGAAGAGCACAUCCUUAGGAGGCUCGUGCACCAGCUCUGUUUAAUUUGGGGCACUUGACUUCCCUCCUUUAAGCCUGAGGCAUCUCAUAUCUCAAUGGGAAAGGCAGUGACCGAAGGGUGCUCGCCUCUAAUGCUGUUGUACAGACUGAGUGGGAUCUCCCCAGAAGGGGGCUCAGUGCCUCGCACAGAGUUGGUGCUCGCUCGAGGUUUUUAUUUCUGCUGGACCGUCACGUGAACACAGCUGCACACACAGGCACGUGCACUGUGGAGACUUCUGUGAGCUCGAGCUUGGGCGGAACCACUACCCAUACUUGACUUUUGUUUGGCAUUUUAUGGUUUCAAAGUAAAGUUUAUGUUCAUCUCAUUUGAACUUUAUAGCUGAGCAAGGCAGGUGUUAGUUUACGAUGAGGAAACUGAGACCGAGAGCGUGAGUUAGUGUGAGGAUGGGACGUGAGGGGCCCGGCUCCUGACCCAGUGCAGCAGGCCUCAGAGCUCCUUACCCGAGGGCCGCACCAAGAGGUGGCGCUCAUGGAAAGUGACUGUUAAAGGGCAGCCUAGUUGUCAGAAAGGAUGUACUUUCUCUUGCACUCUCAGAAGCAGUGUGAAUUCACAGUGCACUUUCACCAGGGUCCAGAGGGCUGUAGUAUAUGGUUGCAUUGGAAUUUAUGACCUUGAAUCAGAAACGAUGACUUCUUUUAAUUGUAUUUUAAAAGUACAGAAUUAUUGCCCUGAAUCUUCCAUUUCCUCCUUUUUUUUAACAUUUUGAGAAGUUUUUACAACGUGAUUCGGUACCAGCUAUAUUCCAUCAUCGUCGUCACUGUAAUUGUUUUCUCUUCGGAUGGUAACGAGUUACUGAGGUCAUGUGCUGGUCGUGAAUUACAUUUCCACGCUCUCCAGUAAUCCUGUCUGUUACUCUUCUGAUGAGUGUUUUCAUUGCUGACUCCAAACUCUGCUUGGCUUUACCUUCUCCCAUCCUUCCUAAAGCACCACCCCUUGGGUACAAUCUGUCAGCAACCGUACUCACUCUAACUGGCCUCAGGACAGACCGUAGUAAUGAUUAGCAAUAUCCUUCUAAACAAAAAUGCUUUUUGGGAUUAUAAUAAUCUAACAGAGCUGCUAUAUAAUUCAUUAGUUCAUGGUUUUCUCAGGCUCUCCAUUACCACAGUUCACAUGAACGGGAACUGCCCACAGGCCUUGGUUCCGAACUGACUGGACGCGCGUGGGCACCACCGACUGGCCUGUGUGCACAUGAGCUGCAUCAUGGGGCAGUGCCAGGCUCAUGCACAUUGUGGGCUUACUUUUCCCUAGCCUGUAGCACUUGAACAUGCUUUCCUGCUUGGUCUGUGCGGCAGGCCCUGCCCUCUCCAUCAGCUCCCAGCACUGUGCACAGCCAGUGGGCCUGAGAUUGGCACCCUCCCUGACUGGCUGCCUUCAUGCCAGUCUCCAUAGGGAGUUAACUAUGCUUAAAACAUUUUUAUACCUGCUGUAACCACUGAACUUGAACAUGACUUUUAAAAGGCUAAUGCAGAACUAAAUCUCGCUGGAAAUUUGUGAUGAGCUUAAUCUUAUAUACAGCAUGCUUCCCAUUCCCCCCUCUCCCCCAAACCUUACAAAUAAAGCAAAAUUUUACCUCUCAUCGUUUUUUCAAAUCCCAACGUGUGAUUUCUUUGGUGAGGUCAUUUUCUUGCUUUAAGGUUCAGGCCAGUUGAAAAGUCGUUUGAAACCCUGGGCUCCUGGCACUCCCAUCCAGCAUUCUGCCCUGCUCUCAGGUGGAAACCGUGUUCUCUCUGCAGCCACUGACAUUCUGGGUCUGAUUCAGAGGUUUGCACCCAAACAGUGGUUUCACUCACACCUCUCCCAAUUCUCUCUCCUGUGUCCCCCGAAGAUGCAAGUCCUGGUGGGGUGAGGCCCUGCACUCCUGCCCAGAACCCUCAUCCUUCGUGGUCUCCCAACCUCGGGGUAGUGGCUGCGGUCACCUCUUCCUUACUCUCCUCCUUUGAUGAGAAAUGUAAGUGAUGAGUCUCAGUGACAAGGACGGGCAGUUACGCUCCCAUCAGACCCCUCCGUCCUGAGACACUUAGCAGUUAGAAGUUAGAUGCGGCUCAUGGAUACGUACACACAUACAGAUUUUAAAGAACUCUGCUGCUUCCCCACUUAACACUCCCCACCUCCUGCCCCUCAAGGACCUGCGUUAAGCAAUUUGGAAGCCUCUGAAUGAGCCUAUUUACAAACAUAAUUGUCCUUUGUGAAUUCUGCUCAACAUUGUGUUUAUACUGGUGACUCAAGAAAGAGGCUGCCGAACACAGUUACCUGCUAUGCCUAGUGAGACCCUAGCUGCCCUCAUGCUAGGAAGGGGCUCGGGUAGAGUCCUGUUGCGGGUACUGUGAUGGUGCGUUGCACCUGUGCUGUGAGCCACGUGUGUCUGUCUGGCUUCAGUAAUCAGU